rnacentral:rRNA from 1 species
CCAAUAGCGUAUAUUAAAGUUGUUGCAGUUAAAAAGCUCGUAGUUGAAUUUCGGGGUUCAUCCGUUGGUCGGGCUUUUUUGGUCUGUACUGGCGUGAUGGAUUCCUACCUUCUGAAUAACCGGCAUGUCAUUAAUUUGGUGCGCCGGGGAAGCAGGACUGUUACCUUGAAAAAAUUAGAGUGCUUAAAGCAGGCGAUCGCCUGAAUACAUUAGCAUGGAAUAAUGAAAUAGGACGGCAUGGUUCUAUUUUGUUGGUUUCUAGGAUCACCGUAAUGAUUAAUAGGGAUAGUUGGGGGCAUUAGUAUUCAAUUGUCAGAGGUGAAAUUCUUGGAUUUAUUGAAGACUAACUUCUGCGAAAGCAUUUGCCAAGGAUGUUUUCAUUAAUCAAGAACGAAAGUUAGGGGAUCGAAGACGAUCAGAUACCGUCGUAGUCUUAACCAUAAACUAUGCCGACUAGGGAUCGGACGAUGUUAAUUUUUUAAUGACUCGUUCGGCGCCUUACG